rnacentral:rRNA from 1 species
GACGAAGGUGGCGAGCGUUGUUCGGAAUCACUGGGCAUAAAGCGCACGUAGGCGGCGGCGUAAGUUGGAUGUGAAAUCCCCCGGCCCAACCGGGGAACUGCGUCCAGUACUGCGUUGCUUGAGGAUCCAAGGGGUGCAUGGAAUUCCCGGUGGAGCGGUGAAAUGCGUUGAUAUCAGAAGGAACGCCGGUGGCGAAAGCGACGGACUGGAUAUCUACUGACGCUGAGGCGCGAAAGCUAGGGGAGCAAAC